rnacentral:lncRNA from 1 species
AAUAAUAAAAUGUAUUGAAUAAAACAAAAGUUGUUCACUGGACUAUACAAUGAAUAAUUAGAUAUAAUAAUAAUAAUAUAAAUAUGAUCCCACAAAACAUAUUUGAAUGAAACAAAGAUUGCUUACAGACAUAAAAGUAAUACAAAAAUGGCCUUACAUAAUACAUUUCAAUACAAUAUUAACAUAAAGAAAACAUAUUUGCUUCUUCGUCAUGUGAUCAAGCUGAUCUCUUAUUGAUAUUAUACCAUAGUGUGUCGUUGAAAUGCGUUGAAUCUCUCCACUUUCAUUUUCUAGCAUAUGAUAGCGUCGGUUCGACCUCAGCAGAAAGAACAUGACUCUCUUCCAAGUUCAUAUCUAAUGAUUACAUCUAAAUUAUUAUUAAGUAAACAAAUAACUAAUUUGAAUUGAAUUUAAAUAAUAAGAUAAAUUACCUGAAGGAGAGGAGAAAAUCAUCUUAUGUUCUUCAUGCACAUAGAUAUCUGACAAAGAUAAAAAUAGCAUAAUAACUCAAAAACCAUUAACAUAUAAUUUUGACGAUUUAAAAGAAUUUAAAAUGCAUAUAGAUGAAUUAUUAGAAAAAUAGUAUAUACAAAAAAGUAAUAGUAAACACAAUAGUCCAGCAUUUAUAGUAAAUAAACAUAGUGAACAAAAAAAGAAAAAAGUAGAAUGAUUAUUGAUUAUAGAAACCUAAAUGCAAAAACUAUGACAUAUAAUUAUCCAAUACCAAAUAAGAUAUUAAAAAUAAGAUGAUAAAUUAUGUAUAUUUAGAAUAUUGGAAAAUGGAUAUGAAAAAUAUACAAUUAAUAGAAAAAUUAAUGAAAACAAAUUUAGAAGAAUAUAUGAGAACCAAAGAUAUAAAAUAUAUAGAAUACCUUAAUGAAAAUAUAGGGAAUUAAUAAGAUUAAAAGAAACAACUAAAAAAAUAUUAUGAAAAAGCAUUUAAUUAACAAAAUAUGAUCAUUUUAGAUUACUAUAUACUAUAUUUUUCUUAAAUAACAUGUUCUUCCGUCACUAUUAGCAUGGUAAUCUGGAUACUUUUCCCUUAAACAGUGCCUCUACUCUGGCUACCCCCCUAUCACGGCUUUCUUGUCUUACCGGUUUCACCUUUAGGAUGGGAUAGUUCUUAGGAAUUUUUCUCCUUUUCCACUUUGCUAAUAAACUUCUUAGCAUUCUAUUUUUCGAAUAAUUCUACUAUAAAAUAACUAACAUAAACUUAUUUUAUCAUAUCAUGAUUGUCAGAAAUUUAUGAAUUUAGCUAUUCAUAACCAUAAAUAAAUAUACCUGUUCUGGUAGAUUUGAUAAUUCUGGGCUUUGUUCAUCCAUAGCUUUUGCUUUGAAAUAUAUUUGAUUUUAUUAAAUAUUCAAAACUUUUUUGUUUACAAAGGAGAACUUUUUGCUUCAUCACAUGAAGACUUGCCCUUAACUUGCCGGAGGCUUACAUAUUUAUAGCCUAAGAAAACGCGUAAAAC